AGCAGUCGCCGCGGGAAAACGGAGGGUGCAAGCGUUAUCCGGAUUUAUUGGGUUUAAAGGGUCCGUAGGCGGACUUAUAAGUCAGUGGUGAAAGCCUGUCGCUUAACGAUAGAACUGCCAUUGAUACUGUAAGUCUUGAGUAUAUUUGAGGUAGCUGGAAUAAGUAGUGUAGCGGUGAAAUGCAUAGAUAUUACUUAGAACACCAAUUGCGAAGGCAGGUUACCAAGAUAUAACUGACGCUGAGGGACGAAAGCGUGGGUAGCGAACAGGAUUAGAUACCCCCGUAGUCCCUGUCUCUUAUAC
rnacentral:rRNA from 1 species